rnacentral:rRNA from 1 species
GUGCCAGCCGCCGCGGUAAUACGGAGGGUGCAAGCGUUACUCGGAAUCACUGGGCGUAAAGCGCGCGCAGGCGGCCUUUUAAGUUGGAUGUGAAAGCCUAUGGCUCAACCAUAGAACUGCAUCCAAAACUAUUAGGCUAGAGUGUGGGAGAGGAAGAUGGAAUUAGUUGUGUAGGGGUAAAAUCCGUAGAGAUAACUAGGAAUACCAAAAGCGAAGGCAAUCUUCUGGAACAUUACUGACGCUGAGGCGCGAAAGCGUGGGGAGCAAACAGGAUUAGAUACCCUGGUAGUCCACGCCCUAAACGAUGAAUGUUAGUCGUCGGGUAGCUAGUCUAUUCGGUGAUGCAGCUAACGCAUUAAACAUUCCGCCUGGGGAGUACGGUCGCAAGAUUAAAACUCAAAGGAAUAGACGGGGACCCGCACAAGUGGUGGAGCAUGUGGUUUAAUUCGAAGAUACGCGAAGAACCUUACCUAGCCUUGACAUAUAUUAGAACUCANCAGAGAUGCANAGGUGCCUUCGGGAGCUUUUAUACAGGUGCUGCACGGCUGUCGUCAGCUCGUGUCGUGAGAUGUUGGGUUAAGUCCCGCAACGAGNGCANCCCNCGUC